ACCCUCCAGUUCCCUUUCCCAUGGGAUCUCAACGCUGGCCUUGGUGAUUGUAAAAGAGGAAGAACACACUGAAGCUGGCCUCCCAGCGAUGCAGUCAGCUGUACAGCAUCAGGCCAGAUUCAAACAUGC